rnacentral:rRNA from 1 species
UACGAAGGUGGCAAGCGUUAUUCGGAAUUACUAGGCGUAAAGGGCAGGUAGGCGGUUUGAUAAGUCUGUUGUGAAAGCUCCCGGCUUAACUGGGAGAGGUCAACAGAUACUGUCGAACUUGAGUAUGGGAGAGGGUACUGGAAUUCCUGGUGUAGCGGUGAAAUGCGCAGAGAUCAGGAGGAACACCGAUGGCGAAAGCAGGUACCUGGACCAUUACUGACGCUCAGCUGCGAAAGCUAGGGGAGCAAACAGG